rnacentral:rRNA from 1 species
CGUGUAGGCGGGUCAUUAAGUCAGGGGUGAAAUGCCAAGGCUCAACCUUGGAACUGCCUUUGAUACUGGAGACCUUGAGUCCGGGAGAGGUGAGUGGAACUGCGAGUGUAGAGGUGAAAUUCGUAGAUAUUCGCAAGAACACCAGUGGCGAAGGCGGCUCACUGGCCCGGAACUGACGCUGAGACGCGAAAGCGUGGGGAGCAAACAGGAUUAGAUACCCUGGUAGUCCACGCUGUAAACGAUGGAUGCUAGCCGUUGGGGAGCUUGCUCUUCAGUGGCGCCGCUAACGCUUUAAGCAUCCCGCCUGGGGAGUACGGUCGCAAGAUUAAA